CCUACGGGUGGCAGCAGUGAGGAAUAUUGGUCAAUGGUCGCGAGCCUGAACCAGCCAAGCAGCGUGAGGGAUGACGGUCCAGAGUAUCGUAAACUUCUUUUGUAAGGGAAUAAAGACAGGCACGCGUGCCCGUUUGUGUGUACCUUAUGAAUAAGCAUCGGCUAACUCCGUGCCAGCAGCCGCGGUAAUACGGAGGAUGCGAGCGUUAUCCGGAUUUAUUGGGUUUAAAGGGUGCGGAGGUGGGUUGUUAAGUCAGUUGUGAAAGGCUGGGGCUCAACCGUAAAAUUGAAAUUGAUACUGGCAGUCUUGAGGAGGGGUGAGGUAGGCGGAAUUCGCGGUGUAGCGGUGAAAUGCUUAGAUAUCACGAAGAACUCCGAUUGCGAAGGCAGCAUACUA
rnacentral:rRNA from 1 species